GUAUACAUUCCUCAUUCUCUGGUCCUCUGCCAGAGGCCUGGGGGUCUGAAGGUUCUGGGCAGUAUCUUAGCUGUUCCUAGACUGCACUCUUCUGGACAGCAAUCUCAGAUAUCCAACCUGCAAUCGGCUAAAGCUCCUUGUUCAACAUGGGGGUUACAGCCCUGAAUGAUUCUGUCACAACUGGGAUUACUAGUACCUUCAAUUUUCAUAUAUUUCCUAGCUCCUCUUCCAGUCCUUGGUAUUUGUUCACCUUCUCAUGUCCCUCUUUGAUGUUAUAGUUACUGGGUAUUUCCACAGCCACCAAUAUUGCAGUCUUCCGUUCCUUGUCAACCAACACAAUGUCAGGUUGUUUGGCCAGUACUUGCUUGUCUGUCUGGAUCUGGAAGUCCCACAGGAACCUAACCCUGUCAUUCUCAACUACCAUUUGCAGUAUCUACCAUCUGGACUUAGGCAGCUCCAGACCAUAUUCUGAGCAACUAUUCCAGUACACAAGCCCUUGCGACUUGUUUGUGCCUCUCAGUGUGUGCUGUCUCUGCUAACAUCUUGCACUUGGCUACUUUGUGC